GGGGUGAACUCAGCUCGAUCGAAGGAUUUGAGGUCGUCUCCCCUACGGUGGCGACGAAGCGUCUGAACUUCCUUUCGCUAACUGAAACGGCGAGUCGUGAUUUCUGUAUAAAUAUGUGUCUUUCUCAUCCUGAGCUCAUCCUCUCUUCCUAACUCUUUCGACUUACUCCUCACACAUCAAUGAAUGCAUCCCUCUUUACUCCUUCUCUCUGAAUCGUCGAGUAUAAAUAGAUUCUGGAAGGCUCUCCCUUUCCAUUUUAUCAUCCCUCUACCAGAUAUGUAAUUGGUUUCUGUUUGAAGUUUGUCUUUGAAUUUUUAUUUUCAGUUGCGAUCUGACUUGAGCUUCCUAACCAGGAACAAUCUUUGUGAAUUCCUAUUUUGAUUUUUAGAAGAGCCCAUUUCAAAGGAUGUACGCUGCUCAGGUAAGUUCAUAUCUCUUUCAGAUGUUAUGUACUUUCAGAAUAAAAAAGUGGAGAUAUGGCAAUAUGGAGUGAAAUGUGCGUUUCUUCAAGACCAGAUGGCAAAGAUUUGAGUUUCUCCCAAAGAGUUCCUAAACAAAGAAGUUGAUAUGGAUUUGGAUGAUGUUGAGGGAACCCAUAUGCUUACUUUUAUUUUUAAUUUCUUGGACAGCCAUUGCUUCCCAUUUCGUUAUCCCCUUUCCUCCUUUCCCUUUUUCAGGUCAAGCUUGGAGAGCUAGAAGCUGAAAAAUUGUGGUGUUUAUGUCUCCUCGCAACUGUUCUUAUACAUAUCCUUAGUGUCUUACAUGGAACUCUUCCAAAGGUUUAUUGUUACAUCUGCUCUAUUGUUUGAAACGUUGUUGCCUAGGAUUGUCUCAGACAUCAUUUGAUAUAUGCUAGAUUCUGUAAAUAAGAGGAUGUUAUAAAAGCUAUGUUGGAGAGCCAUUCAAGAGUACUUCGUGAUUUAGCUUUUAACACAGUUGCUUGGAAUGAUUCUGUUAUUUUUAUAGGCAAAACUAUGGGACGUUGUGGAUAACUUCUUCUCCACUUUACUUCUAUGUUUGUUCUUUCCCUUCUAUUCUAAUAUGUUCUUUAAAUUUAACUCAGAUCAAAAUCAUUGUAAAAUCUAUGAACAAAUGUAUUUACUUCUUUCUGUAUAUAGUAAGCAAAGAGAGAAGAAUGCUAAUA